UCUGUAGCUAAAUCGCAGAUGUAGCUGCUGUAUCACAUAUGGGUCAGUAGGUGGCAGAGCAGAGAGAGGCUAUGUCUAUACUAAGUGUCCUGACCUGGGAACAUCUAUCUGAAUGAUUAGCAGCCUAAGAUU